GUAGGAAGGAAGCAUGGUAGUGUGUACGGAGAUGAACACGGUCUGCAUGUCUGCUCGCUGUGAUGCCUGCGGGCUUUGAUCUCGCGGGCCUGGAUUUGACCGAAACUC